GCUUGUCUCAAAGAUUAAGCCAUGCAUGUCUAAGUAUAAACAAAUCUAUACGUGAAACUGCGAAUGGCUCAUUAUAUCAGUUAUAGUUUAUUUGAUGGUUCUUGCUACUUGGAUAACCGUAGUAAUUCUAGAGCUAAUACAUGCAAAAAAACCCAGACUUACGAAUGGGUGCACUUAUUAGAUAAAGCCAACGCUGGGUAAAACCAGUUUCCCUUGGUGAUUCAUAAUAAUUAAGCGGAUCGCAUGGCCUUGUGCUAGCGACAGUCCACUCGAUUUUCUGCCCUAUCAUGGUUGAGAUUGU
rnacentral:rRNA from 1 species